CUCCGGUUGAUCCUGCCGGACCCGACUGCUAUCAGAGUGGGACUAAGCCAUGCGAGUCAACAUAGCAAUAUGUGGCAUACGGCUCAGUAACACGUAGUCAACAUGCCCAGGGGACGUGGAUAACCUCGGGAAACUGAGGAUAAACCGCGAUAAGUCACUACUUCUGGAAUGGGUAAUGACUCAAAUCUACAUGGCCCCUGGAUUGGACUGCGGCCGAUCAGGCUGUUGGUGAGGUAAUGGCCCACCAAACCUGUAACCGGUACGGGCUCUGAGAGGAGGAGCCCGGAGAUGGGCACUGAGACAAGGGCCCAGGCCCUAUGGGGCGCAGCAGGCGCGAAACCUCUGCAAUAGGCGAAAGCCUGACAGGGUUACUCUGAGUGAUUUCCGUUAAGGAGAUCUUUUGGCACCUCUAAAAAUGGUGCAGAAUAAGGGGUGGGCAAGUCUGGUGUCAGCCGCCGCGGUAAUACCAGCACCCCGAGUGGUCGGGACGUUUAUUGGGCCUAAAGCAUCCGUAGCCGGUUCUACAAGUCUUCCGUUAAAUCCACCUGCUUAACAGAUGGGCUGCGGAAGAUACUAUAGAGCUAGGAGGCGGGAGAGGCAAGCGGUACUCGAUGGGUAGGGGUAAAAUCCGUUGAUCCAUUGAAGACCACCAGUGGCGAAGGCGGCUUGCCAGAACGCGCUCGACGGUGAGGGAUGAAAGCUGGGGGAGCAAACCGGAUUAGAUACCCGGGUAGUCCCAGCUGUAAACGAUGCAGACUCGGUGAUGAGUUGGCUUAUUGCUAACUCAGUGCCGCAGGGAAGCCGUUAAGUUUGCCGCCUGGGGAGUACGGUCGCAAGACUGAAACUUAAAGAAUUGGCGGGGGAGCA
rnacentral:rRNA from 1 species